UAACACGUGGGUAACCUGCCUUAUAGUGGGGGAGUAGCCUUUCGAAAGGAAGAUUAAUACCGCAUAAGAUUGUAGUAUCGCAUGAUAUAGCAAUUAAAGGAGCAAUCCGCUAUAAGAUGGACCCGCGUCGCAUUAGCUAGUUGGUGAGGUAAUGGCUCACCAAGGCGACGAUGCGUAGCCGACCUGAGAGGGUGAUCGGCCACAUUGGGACUGAGACACGGCCCAGACUCCUACGGGACAGCAUG
rnacentral:rRNA from 1 species